GGCACGAGGAUAAAUUAAAAGACAUUGAGGAAACCUGUCACUUCCUUGAGGAAGCCUCUCUUCAGGAAGCUCAAAGAAGAACUGCCAGGGAUCUGAGCAGCCUAUUGGGCUCUGAACUACCUUUGUUAUCUAAAGCCGAGAGAGAUGAAAAAGAGCAAGAAGUACGAGUCAUACUGGUGAUCAGGAAGGCACUGGAAAAAAUGGUUCAAUUUAUUAAAAAGAUGCAGCUGGAGGAAGGCCUAUUACAAAGGCAGAUGAAGGAGAAAGCAUGGCAAAGGAGCAAGAACUUUAACACAGAGACAGCACCCAGAUUCAAGCCCAGAAAGGUCAUACUACAUCAUGUUGCUGAAUUUCAGGAACAUAUAAUGAAACAACAGGUCAGUGUGGAGUCUGCAUACAGCAGACUGGAGUAUCUCAGGGACUUGUUGGAC